AUUGAACGCUGGCGGCAGGCCUAACACAUGCAAGUCGAACGAGUGGCGGACGGGUGAGUAAUGUCUGGGAAACUGCCUGAUGGAGGGGGAUAACUACUGGAAACGGUAGCUAAUACCGCAUACCAUCAGAUGUGCCCAGAUGGGAUGAGCUAGGUGGUGGGGUAACGUAUCACCAAGGCGACGAUCCCUAGCUGGUCUGAGAGGAUGACCAGCCACCCUGGAACGGAGACACGGUCCAGACUCCUACGGGAGGGAGCGGAGGGGAAUAUUGCACAAGGGGCGGAGACCUGAUGCAGACCUGCCGCGUGUAUGAAGGAGGCCUUCGGGUUGUAGAGUACUUUCAGCGUGGAGGCGUUACCCGAAGAAGAAGCACCGGCUAACUCCGUGCCAGCAGCCGCGGUAAUAC
rnacentral:rRNA from 1 species